UGGGGAAUAUUGCGCAAUGGGGGGAACCCUGACGCAGCCAUGCCGCGUGAAUGAAGAAGGCCUUAGGGUUGUAAAGUUCUUUCGGUAUUGAGGAAGGUUGAUGUGUUAAUAGCACAUCAAAUUGACGUUAAAUACAGAAGAAGCACCGGCUAACUCCGUGCCAGCAGCCGCGGUAAUACGGAGGGUGCGAGCGUUAAUCGGAAUAACUGGGCGUAAAGGGCACGCAGGCGGUUAUUUAAGUGAGGUGUGAAAGCCCCGGGCUUAACCUGGGAAUUGCAUUUCAGACUGGGUAACUAGAGUACUUUAGGGAGGGGUAGAAUUCCCCGUGUAGCGGUGAAAUGCGUAGAGAUGUGGAGGAAUACCGAAGGCGAAGGCAGCCCCUUGGGAAUGUACUGACGCUCAUGUGCGAAAGCGUGGGGAGCAAACAGGAUUAGAUACCCUGGUAGUCCACGCUGUAAACGCUGUCGAUUUGGGGGUUGGGGUUUAACUCUGGCGCCCGUAGCUAACGUGAUAAAUCGACCGCCUGGGGAGUACGGCCGCAAGGUUA
rnacentral:rRNA from 1 species